AUUCCAGCUCCAGUAGCGUAUAUUAAUGUUGUUGCAGUUAAAAAGCUCGUAGUUGGAUUUCUGACUUGACGCGCCUGGCCCGCCUUGCAUUUCGCGGGUGAGUGCCGGAGCGCGUCGGUCAUCCUUCUAGAGAACGGCGCUACCCUUCACUGGGUCGGCGUCGCAAUCUAGAUCUUUUACUCUGAAAAAAUUAGAGUGUUCAAGGCAGGCUCGCGCUGUGAUUACAUUAGCAUGGAAUAAUAAUCUAGGACUUUGUUCCUAUUUUGUUGGUUUCUAGGAAUUAAGUAAUGAUUGAUAGGGAUAGUUGGGGGUGCUAGUAUUCAGCGGCCAGAGGUGAAAUUCUUGGAUUCGCUGAAGACUAACUUAUGCGAAAGCAUUCACCAAGGAUGUCUUCAUUA
rnacentral:rRNA from 1 species